AUGGGAUUUUCCAGGCAAGGAUACUGGAGUGGGUUGUCAUUUCCUUCUCCAGGGGAUCUUCCCGACCUAGGAAUCAAACCCAGGUCUCCCGCAUUGCAGGUGGAUUCUUUACCAUCUGAGCCACCAGGGAAGCCCCUGGAGAGACCAUGUAGUUUGCACAUUUCUGAAACCACUGAAGGAUUCCAGGAGUGGAGUCCUGACAGUUCCCAGACCCCCUCAUAUUAUCUCUCAAGGAGCUUAAAGGAUCCACCCAAUGUGGACGAAGAAACAGAAAUGCAGGCAAUGCCCGGCUCCUACCAGUCUAUCCACACAGCAAGCCUGGAGGCUUCUGCUGGCUGGCCUGCCUACUAAAUGAGCAGCUACUGAAGAGUCCUCUCCUGGGUUCUCUCCUGAUUUUUAGUGCACCUGCUCAGCGCCGGCCCCAUUGGCCUCUUCCACAGGUAGGCCGUCUGUUUACUCCAGGAUGACUCAGCCUUAGCCACAUCCGCUUAACCCCUCCAACAGUCUUCCAGAAGCCAGAGUGUUUGGGUCCUUUGUGUGGGCCUGUUUCGCCUCCCUGCAUGCUGUCCACUCCUCUGUGAAGCUCCCCCUCCUCUUCCCACUCUCCAUGCCUCUGGUCCCAAGCCUUCUCAACCCAUGCCACCUCCUAAAAGCAGCCUCAGGCCCACUGCACACAUCCACCUGAAGUCAGGAAUCAAGCACUAAGCCUCUGAAAACCGUUCCUGGCACUUGGAAUAAACUUGGAAUAAACUGAUGGUGCUUUACUCUCAUCCACCCAGCUCCACCCACAACUGAACAAAAUCCCCUUGACCCCAGCUUCCUAAACCCCCAGCCUUACUUGACUCUGAAGUCAUCAGCAGCAAGACGGGCAUUGUCAAUCUGCAGAACAAUGCGGGCGCUGUCCACAGAAUUUGCAAAAAUCUGAGCCCUCAGGUCCUCAAUGAUCUUCAGGCAGUGUCCCCAGUCUUUGACCUGGGGUCCCUUCUUCUCCAGGUGUUCCCGGAUUUUGCUCUCCAGUCUCCGGUUAUCCGCCUCCAGGCUCCUCCCCUCCUCCAGGUAGGAGGCCAGGCGGUCGUUCAGGUCUUGCAUGGUCUCCUUCUCGCCCUGGAUGCCCCCUACACCCACCAGACCCCUGGCCAUCCCGGCGCCCAGGUUCGCCGGUCGGACCCGGUGGCCCGACGACUGCACGGAGCCCAGGGACCGGUAGUUGGAGAAGGUGGAUUGGGCGCUGAAGCUCAUGAUGUUUGUUCUCGAGGAAAGAGCGAGGCCAGGACUCUAGGUGCUGGACGGUGUAGUGUGUGAGGUCCGCAACUCAAGUUAUAGCUCCCAGGGAUGGGGGGGUGGGGUCCGGCCCGGAAGCCCCGCCCCCGCCAUCAGAGUCGCCGCUGAAGCCUGGUCACAGGUGGGACCGCGGGGACUUGGCGCCCUUGGUUCCUCACCCUCCCGGCCUUUCCCCGCCCCCUCCGCACCACCCCACCGGGGCCUCCCUCCACCCCCCAGGGAGGGGGUGAGUGAGUGGGCCCGGGCCAGCCAAGGGCAGAAGGUGAAGCUGACUCUGGCAGCUGGGAUUUCAGGGCAGGAAAUGACGUUCUUGUACCCCUCUCUCCCAGGUGGAGGAAGUACUGGCCUCGUAGAGAAUUUGGGGGAUGAGUGACGAGUUGUGUGUGUCGUUGUCCUCAGCCUGCAGGCCAAGUUCUCGCCUGCAGGGGGCCUCUUGGGGGAAAUCCCAAAGCCCCAGGAGUCCUGAGGAAGAAAAGCUGGGGGCUGGCGGAGAGGAAGAGAGACGCCAUCCUGAGCCUCAAGUCCCGCUGGUUUACUCUCGCCCCUGCGGCCCGUUGUUCCCUAGCACACACUCAGACGUGUGCUGUCAUUGCCCACAGACACACUCACUCACCAGUUACAUUCAGACUCCUGAAAACUCACCCUGAACCUCCCCUCCCCUGUGCCUCACCUCACUCCCAUGGAGGCCUGGUCUCCUUGGGAGUGCUUUGUGGUCUCAGCUGGAGUCUUCACUUCAACACGCCUGUGUAUCAGCCUUACCCACACCCUUGGGUAAACAAAUAAUUUCUGAGCACUCGCAGUUUAACAAAUAUUUGUUAGGCACCUACUGUGUGUCAGGCUCUGUUCUAAUUGCCCGGACAGCAGCAGGGAGAAAAGACCAGUAAUCCCUCAUGGAGACUGUCUGAGAGGAGAAACAUUCUAGCUGACACUCAGCCCUGGUGGCCAGCUCUCUCUCCCCCCUUACCAGGACUUUUCUGCAGGGCCCCUGCUUUUCCUCCAAAGGCUCCCUGCAUCCCAUGCCUGUCUCCAGGGGGCUGCCUCCUCCAGGAAGCUUAUGUCAGGACAUGGGUGAGACGAUGGAAGUAGGGAAGUACCCCCUUUCCCCUUCACCUCAGAACCUGGAUGGUGACCCCCUGUUGAAUGAGCUGGAGGAAUCCUGAGAUACUGGGCCUUCAAGUCCGUCACCACUGGAAGCUCGUUUGUCUGGCAGGGCCUGGCAUUACACGCCUGUCUGUACUCUUUGCUCUGGAGUGGACCUAUUGAUUCUUAUCAAGCUGCCAGCUGAACUGAAGAGAAGGGGGCAGACAGGAAAGGAGGCCUGGGAAGAGAAGGGGUCCCAGGAAUAAUUAGGUCAGUGGACCAGGCAGGCACAGGUCAAAUGAGGGACUUGGCCUUGGAUCAUCCCAGUCCUGGCAUCUUCUGUUGGGGAGAGGCCCCUACCCAGCGCCCUGCACCUAGCAGGAGCUGGCUAGGGGAGGUCAGAGUAGGCUAGGGGAGGUCAGAGUAGGAAAUGGCCAGGGGAGGGUUAGGGUCUGCUGAAGGCCAAGAGGCAAAUGAGAUGCAAAUUUGCAUACAAAUGAGUGACCACUAGGUUUGCCUGGAAGAUUUCUGGGAGCUUAGAAGUCCCAGACAGUCAAAGAGGUUUCUCCUGCUUUCACCUUCACGUUCUCCCACGAGGUUCCAGAAUUGUCUCGUUGUGCAGAAUUGCACAAUAAGGUGUAGAGAUUACAUAUAUGAUGUAUUGCCUUUGCUGUUUUUGCUUAACUUGAAGUCAGCCAAUUUGGGUACAUUGCCAGCUGUGUGACCUUGGGGAAGUCACUUGACUAGGCACUUCAGUUUCUUCUUUUGUAAAAGGAGAAGAAAGCGUGACCAGUCUAACUCCUGGGAUGGCAGUGGAUACUUAUGUUAAUUAUCAGUCACAUAUUCACUGAACAAAUGCUCAUUACUUACUGUGGGAUAAAUCUCCAAAAGGGCAGAUGUCUCCAGGAUAUAAGGACUCUUUCUAAGUCACUUAAGACCCCUGGGGGACUUUGAAUUCCAGUGGGGAUCAGGUCCAGAUCUAAGGAUUCUUAUCUAAGCUCUUUCCAGAUCAUUCUCUGACUGCUGCCUGACUCCAACAGCCUGGGACAUUCUGGGGCCUGGGGAGGGAGGUGCUGUCUGGGGGUGGUGGAGGAGCGCAGCCAGCUGGGUCUUAUCUCCCAUAGCUGAUGUUAGUGACCACAUUCCUGACCUCUUGCAGCACUGGGGCAGAUACUGACCUCAGGUUUCCAGCACCAGCCUGCCCUUUUCCACCACAUCUAGAUUCCUCUGUGGUUCAGAGCAUUUUCACUUUUAUCUGAGUGUCUCUGGGAGAGCUAGGAAGGGGGCAUUUUUGAGCACCCUGGUUCCCAGCACUGAGGCUCUGAGUUGGGGGAGGCCAGGUGGGAGGGGGGAGGGUGCUUUGUGAGGCCAGUCCUCCGUGAAGGGGGAGCAGGAGGGGCCCUUGAGAGAGGCCAGAACAAAGACAUUGAAGAGAAGGCUAGCUGAGUAAAGAGACUUGGCUGAAC
ensembl:lincRNA